rnacentral:tRNA from 1 species
CUAAGAAGUAUAUAAAUAGAAUAUCACCUUGGGUGCUGAUGGGGGGAAUAGGUCCUUUUCCUUGA